UACCCGACUCGGAGAAAGUCGGGAAAAAAUUCAUAGCCCUAACCCUAUCCCAAACCCAAACACAAACCCUAGCGAGUUCUCCACCGCUCUUUCUCUCUGUGGCAGCCAUGUCGCACUUCGGACGAUCCGGUCCUCCGGACAUCAGAGAUACCUAUUCUUUACUCGUUCUCAACAUCACUUUCCGCACCACCGCAGAUGAUCUGUUCCCGCUUUUCGACAAGUACGGGAAAGUCGUUGAUGUAUUCAUCCCCAGAGAUCGAAGGACCGGUGACUCGAGGGGAUUUGCAUUUGUUCGUUAUAAGUAUGCGGAUGAGGCCCAGAAGGCGGUAGAAAAGCUUGACGGAAGGAACGUGGAUGGAAGAGAAAUUAUGGUUCAAUUUGCCAAGUAUGGUCCCAACGCAGAGCGAAUUCAUAAAGGGAGGAUAAUAGAAACAUCUUCAAAAUCAAAAGGCAGGUCAAGAAGCCGCAGUCCUCGGCCAAGGCAUCGGGAUGAAUACAGGGACAGGGAUUACAGGAAGAGAAGUCGCAGCAGAAGUAGAGGCAGAAACGAUCGUGACAGGUACCGUGGGAAGGAAAGAGAUAGUCGCCGUCGGAGCAGAAGCCGCAGUGCAAGUCCUGAUCAUCACAAGGAUCGUGGGAGAGGCAGAUAUGAUGAUGAGCGGCGUAGUCGCAGCCGGUCAUAUGGAAGUGCCUCUCCUGCCCGGCGUAGCCCCAGUCCUCGAGGGAGCCCCUCUCCACGCAGAACACCACCUUCCAGGGAAGAAAGUCCUGUUGGACGCAAGAGAAAUGAACGUUCACCUACUCCGAAAAGUGUCUCACCCCGUGGUCGACCUGCUGAUUCUCGAAGUCCAUCUCCACAUAAUUCUGACGCUGAUGAAUGAUGGAGUAGCAUAUGGAGAAAUCUUUGGUUUGAUGUACCGUGUGUAGCUGCAUUCAUAAUGGAGGACAUUUUGGAAUUUGCAUGUUAUCAUCAAAUUAUUGAAUGCUAGAUUUGAUCAUCCUGGACGUAUUUUGAAGGUUAACCAUUUCUUUGUUGGACUUGAUGCAUACCUGCACUUAUCUUGAUGUUUUGUUCGUGAAGAGUGAAUCUGGCUGAUUGGCAAGUUGUUGUAGCAGCUGUUGAUGCUGUUUUUACUUCACAGAUGGUUGAUGUCAUUCCAUCCUGGUUGCACAUACAUUAUCUUUAACAAUUUUUCUCUGGUGAUAUCAUGAUUGGAGGUUUAGUCGCUGUGAUGACCUAAAGAUGAUUGGAUUCCACGUGCCUUUACCUGUAGCUGGCAGUUAACUGCACCAGACAUUCCGUUAAGCUGUUACUAAAUUGAAACCUGCUAUGCUGUGCUGAACAUUGUUACCAUGAGGCUUGACAUGCACAUGAGGUCGUGGCUAUAGCUGUGAAGUGAUAGCUGAUAGCUUCGCAGAACAGUUGUUGCUGCAGUACUUGCUGAUAGCAUUUGAAUUUGGUGCUACUGUGUUUGGUGUUGAUGAGUGAUCCCUGAUUUUGGUAGCUGUGUUGCAGCUGGAUCCAGUGGUCCUGCUUUGUUUCUUUGCCAUCCAGUUAUUUCUUGUGGAGGUUUUUUUCAUUAUAUUUUCGGUUUUCAUUUACUUUAGUUGCAUCAACUUUUCUUACUUGUGGUUCUGCUUUGUUUAUAUGGAGUCCUGUUUUUAGCGGAGCUUGAAUUAUAUCAUUUGUUUUGUGCUUUAAUUGCAUUGAAGUGGAUUUCCUUACAAUUUUUUA